rnacentral:piRNA from 1 species
UGCACUUUUGAUAGUUACUUA